ensembl:lncRNA
UUCAGAUUGUAUUAUGAGUCUCCUCAGCCUAGGUCCUCCAGAAAAGCUCCUCUUUUUUAGACAAGUCAUCUGAAUUUUACUCCCUUGAGGAGAGUCCUUAAUCAUAAGAUGGAAGCAAAUCCCUAAUGUACGUGUAAGGAAGAUGGGCCUUUCUGCCACCAUCUUACAACACAUCUGUCACAGAAGUUCUGACAAGGUAAACUUGUGGGAACGGGCACUGAGAUCAGCGACUGUGACAUAACCUCCCUAUUACAGAAGAUAUACAAUUAUGUGUUUGUGCGCUCCUAGGAAUAUAUGAUUGUCCAUCGACCCGAACGCCUCACACAUGAGUUUUUGAUCCUGAGGCCUAAGGGGUCGGGGCCUGCGCUGCGACCGAGCGCCCGACCCGCGCCCACCUGUGCC